rnacentral:rRNA from 1 species
UACGUAGGGUGCGAGCGUUGCCCGGAUUUAUUGGGCGUAAAGGGCGCGUAGGCGGCUCUGCACGUCCGUUGUGAAAUCGCCCGGCUCAACUGGGCGGGGUCAGCGGAUACGGCAGAGCUCGAGCAAGCUAGGGGGCAAUGGAAUUCCCGGUGUAGUGGUGGAAUGCGUAGAUAUCGGGAGGAACACCGGUGGCGAAGGCGGGUCUCUGGGCCGAUACUGACGCUGAGGAGCGAAAGCGUGGGGAGCGAACAGG